AGUACGAGUUGUGUGUGCACCGAAUAUUCUUCCUGUCCUGAGCAGCGUCAUUGUACGCUGGAAGUGGAGAGCAGAGGCAAACCCAGGGAGCCAUAGAGGCCCAGCCAGCUCCAAGGAGCCCCAAUCACCCCACUCUGGCAUUGUGUCCCCUCAUGCACACUUGCCUCACAGGACACGCAGAGCAGACUUCAACUCAGGGCCCUUUUCUUCAGAGGACACAUGGGCCCCACUUCUCCACAAGUGUGCACGCACUGGUUGUGUAGUUUCAUUCAGCUCUUAUCCCUGCCUGAAGGUGAAGCGGUUCAUUUUAUCCCUGAAACUGAGACUUUCUUGAAAUGCAUUUGUCUACUGCAACACGUGGCAACAAGCGCCUGCUUCGUCAUAUUCGGGCUGCAACUAACGAUUACUUUAGUGAGCGGUUAUUUUGACGAUUUAUCGGAUAAGAAAUUGGCAUAUUCUGCAGAUUUUUCAUUUUAGACUUUUUAUAGUACAUUAGAAAUACACAAAAAUGCAAAUAAACUAAAUUUAAUUCCCUUUUUAGAUAUGAAAAUGAACAUUUUAUUGUGUAAAAUGGAAUAACAGCAUUUGUUGUGUGAACGCUUGAUUACAUUAACAAGUAAAAAAAAACAUUUCUCCUAGACUUGACAUCAAGUGAUGAUUCUUUUUUGGAUUAUUUACGCUUGAUAGUUGAUUAUUUUUAGCAGAAUUUGAACCAGGUGAAGCUAAAACAGCCACUUUAGGAGUUCUGGGUGGAUCGGAUUGACAGAUAAAGAGUUUUUUUUUUCAUAAAUACACAAAAUGUAUGCAUUUUUGUACAGCUUUGACUCAUUGUGCUGUUCUUUCAGCAAAUGGGCUUUUUUAGAGCCUCUAUGCUGCAAUUUAAUGGUUAUUUGAUUCCUAAGUACUGUGACAAUUAUUUCAACAAUCGAUUAAUCACAAUUAAAUCAAUUAAUCGUUUCAGCCCUAUGUCAUAAAUGACUCAACAAACUCAUCCAGUCUGUAUCAAACAUCUCAAUUUACCAAUAAUCCUAAUGAUGGCAAUAAAACAGAAAUUGAUAUUUUAUAAAUUGGUAAAAACACACUAAAAACAUUCAACAGUAUUAAUUUGUUUUACAUUUUUAUUUUAAAAAUCUGAUGAAAGGCAAAUGCUUUGGUAUAUAAAUGGCAAAAACGUCUUUCUUUUAAAUUUCAACACAGCGAAUGCUGUGUCCCUAUAUAGAGGACAGAAGCUGAUUAUUGGUUUUACAUGAAAGUAUCAGAGCCAGUCAAUCAGUGCAACCCUAAUUCUUCAUUUCCUAAUUUUCUGCUGAUUCAAAAAAAUAAUUAAAAUUUAAACUGUAAUUGGACAGUUUCCUUUGAUCAGCUCACACAAUUGAUCGGUAAAUCAAAUACAAAAGAAAACAACAAAAGAAUUUCUUAUUAAACGCAUCAAAACUGAAAAAUCCCACUAUCUUCUGCCAACAUGUAAUAAAGACAAUCAGAAAAAGUCUUUAUUACGUACGUUUUAAUUCAUCUACUGGUCUCUUGCUAACUAGUGAGCCAAAUCUGUUCACAUAUGUAUUUUAAUCUAGAGUUGUUACACCAAGCAUUUCAGACUACAUUGUAACUACUAUAAUAAGCAUUUGUGAGCAUAAUUUUUUUGCCUACAGCCUCAUUCGUACUCUUGAUUAAUGCAUAAUAAACAGUUUUUAAUGA